rnacentral:tRNA from 1 species
UGUCUCCUUAGCUCAAUUGGGAGAGCGCCAGACUGAAGUCUUCAUCUCGGUCAUUGAAAUCUGGAGGUAUCGUGUUCGAUCCACGAAGGGGACA